rnacentral:pre_miRNA from 16 species
GGAAGUGGCUUUGAAGCGGCAAGAAUUAGGCGGAGUCGGCGCCCCGCCGCCGCAGUUGGUGUCACUUCUUGUUGUUCUUUUUUUUCGUUCUCGAGC